CUCCUACGGGAGGCAGCAGUGGGGAAUCGUUGCGCAAUGGACGAAAGUCUGACGCAGCCACGCCGCGUGAGUGAAGAAGGCCUUCGGGUUGUAAAGCUCUGUCGGAGGGGACAAAAACGGUUUAUGGUUUAAUAGCCAUAGAUCUUGAUGGUACCCUCAAACGGAAGCACCGGCUAACUUCGUGCCAGGCAGCCGCGGUAAUUC
rnacentral:rRNA from 1 species